GUGACUUCAGUGUGAGCAGAGCGAGGGAGGGGCCUUGGAAGUGGGCUCAGCCCAGCUUCCACCGGGCUGUUGGUGGCCUGCACUGGGGUCCCUGAGAGCCAGGGCUGCAGAAGCUGGGGCCGGCAAGGCCGGGGUCCCCGCAGCUGGGCAGCACUCACCACUGAGCCACCUGGCCCUGACGGCCAACACAAUGGACACGCCUGGAAGGAGAGGAUGGGCCAGGUGGGAAGGCUGUUCCUGUCUAUUUCCAGGUGGGCAAGGAGGAGAGAAGGCAGUGCUGACCUGGGCAGCAGAGGGAGGAGGGCACCCAGCCCAGCUGCGGCCCUGGUGCCCCCUCCAGCUGCCUGUGAGCAACUGUGCCCGCCUGGCCUGGGCCCUGCCCUCAGGGGGGGACACCUGCCCGGCCGGCAGUGGCUCCUGGGGUUGGAGUCCUUGUGCCCCCAGGGGACAAAGCAAGGGGCCUCGGAUCCAACUAGAAAACCAGUGUUGCCCUUGGAGGUGGCUCCGAUGGCGACCCCUGGCUUUGGAGGCCCCGUCCCUGUUUCAGGGUUACAGCUGGGGACGCCACAGGGAAAGCCCCCAGGUCUGCGGUCCCUCUGCACUUGGUCGCCAGCCUGGGAAGCUGCAGCUCUGCCCAGGGACCCAACCCGGACUCCUCGUUGUCCUCACAGCCUGUGCUUUCUCCUCGCCACCCCUGGACCAGUAACCGGGGCCCGGUUUGGGGACCAGCAGGCCACGCUGCUCAUCACGAUUGGCCUCAGGAUGUGCAAAGUGUGUCCCUGCUGUUGUGCAAGGCGUACCUCAUCGGCACGUUGGGCCUCGGUGGGGAAAGAACCCGGUUUGAGGUCAGGAGGAUUUGGAGGCUGUCUGUCUCUGUUUUGGAGCAGCCCUGCCACUCAGAUGCCAGCAGCCACGGGCAGGGCACCUGGCUGAGCCAGGACCUGGCCAUCUGGGCAGCACCUCGCCCUGACCCGGCUUGGCCCGAAGCCUGCGUGGAGUUGGAGUUGCGAGUCCAGUCCUGCCAGUGGGUGCGGCUGGGAACCAGCGGGGCUCUGGGCGAGGCCUCUUGACUCGUGCUGGGCAGGACACGGCCCCUGUGGUCCCGGAAGUCUGACUCACCUGUCCUGGAGGAGGGGGGUGAGCUGGGGAACCAGGAGCUCCAUUCUGGCUCACAGCCGGCCCAGCCAGGGAGGGGCAGAGUUUGAAGCCAGCAGAGGGGCCCUGGGCACGGCUGGGCUCACACUGCUUCCGGCCCUUUCAUAGCUGCCUGGAUCCUGCAGACCACAGGGAGAGCUGACCAGGGAUGUCCCCAUGCAGGUGAAGCUGACAACGCAGGCGACACCUGGCUCGUUUUCUGCCGCAGGCUUCGGGCCCGACCGACUGAGACUCAGCAGAGGCCUCGCCAGUUCUCUCCAGCCCAGGCUUGUCGGGAAUUUUGCUGGCUCACUGUUCCCAGCCCAGGAUGAGCAGGGCACCUCGGGCUCGCUGGGAGGGGCGGGGAGCAGCCUUGGCCUGCAGCGGAGACCAGGCCUCCCCACCUGUCCUGAGUCCUCGAACGCCCGGCACCUUGCUUGUGCUGGCCUGGGUGCUGCCCCAGCCUGACCACCCUAGGACCCGCCUUCAGGAUGGGGUGCCCCCUGACCGGAAUCUGCCAGGCCCCACUGUGCGCCCAGCUCCCGUCAAGGGGCUCCCAGCCGAUGCUCCUGGUUGCUCCAUCGGCUGUGGGGUGCUGAUGUCCAUACCCCGGUUAAGGACAAGGUGUGGGGCAGGCUUAGCCAGCACCAGGGCUGCACAGUGGUGCUGCUACCAGCGAAGAAAGGACUCCCAGCAGCUGGCGGGAGCCACCCACGGCUGUUUGUCAAGGGCCAGCAGGACGCCGGAAGUGCAGAGGCGCUCAGUAAGUGCUGGCUGCCACCUCGUAAGUGAACGUUAUACAUGCACCCGGCCAGGCAGACCGCAGCAAACUCCCAGAGGCCCCUGAAGCAGGUGACCAGGAGUUUGUGGCCAGCAGCGCUGGGAGGAGGUAUCGCUGGCGUGGAGUGUCCUGCGGGUUGAGUUCAGUGCUCAGCCUGGGGAGGAAGGAAGAAAGGAAUCAGGAGGAAACAGACAAGCCUGGGGCUAGGGCCGGCAUAGGUCACCUGGCUGGGGUUUGGGGACUGCAGCAACAGGACAAGAGGGGUUGGAUGAGGUGGCACACGCCUGUAAUCCCAGCACUCAGGAGGCUGAGGCAGGAGGACUGCAGUGAGUUCAAGGCCAGCCUGGCCUACAUAGGAGACCCUGUCUCGAAAAAAAAAAGAUGGCACAUGUGGGACAGCUUGAUGGUGCCCACCAAGACCUUGUGAGAUCCUGACCCCAGGACCUGUGACCACAGGAUUUAUGACUCCCAGUGCCUGUGACCUUCAGGACUUGUGACCCCUCAGCGCCUGUGACCCGGACUUCGUUAGAAAACGGAGUCAUUGCAGACAGCCGAGUACAAAGAGGCCUCGGGUGGGACCCAUGUGACCGAGUCCUCAACCAGGGGCAACAGGUCCCCAGCAGCCUGCACACCGGGAGAAGCCACCGGAAGAAGCUGCAGCCACAGCGGAGCUGCACAGUCCCAAGGACGCGGCCAGCUGUUUCCUCCGCCCUCGGCACUCUCGGCCCAGGCUCCCCUCGGACUGGCUGAGCUGCUGGGAGCGCUGGCACCACAGCUGCGGCAGGGCCAGCUUCCUCACAGGACUCCCCUCAGGCAGCCUGGUGGCCCCCUGUGACAAGGUGGACACGGCAGGCAGCUCCAUGGGCCUCGAGGGCUCAGCUGCAAAGCACAGGGGGCAACUGGGCCGAGGGACCGCCACCUGCAGGGCGCUGGGCACCAGUGUUCGGGGAGCAUAAAGGAGGAGAGCUCUCGGCACCGGCCCCUGCAGCAGCAGAGAGCACGGCCAAGAGGCCGGAAGUGGCCACGCGGGGCUGAGGGAUCGUCCCGGGGAGCCUGAGCGACCCCAGACCCAGGCACAUUUGGGCCAGGCAGCGCAGCCGCAGUCCUGCACGCGAGCAGCACGGCCAGCUCCACACUCCGCGUGACUCAGCAGCGCUGGUGAAUCAGGCCGGACGGCUCACGGGCGUGGCCAGCGCCCCAGGCUGGGGCCAGGCCGCGAUUAGGUCAUCUGCCUGGAAGGCCCCCCCCCCGCCCCCUGCUGGGAACCGCUCUUCUGCCCCCAGUGUCUCUCUGGGCCUGGCCUCAGGAGACACCUGCCUGGAGACCCGAGGUGGGGGGCGGUCCCGGGGUCCCAGCCCGGCCCUGCUACUGCUCGGUCGGUCGUGUCCUCCAGGAGUCAGAAGAGCCAGACAGACAGCAGGAAGCGGCGGGGCCGCGGGGCCUCACGCCCCGUGGGGUGCAGAGAGGAGAAGCCAGGGCCGCUGUGCGCUCGGGGGAGCUGGCUGCAGGGGUGGGGAGGCGUGCGGGUUGGAGUUGCAGCCUCUGGCCCUGCCUGGGGAGGCAGGCGUGACCUACGAUAGUCCCCUGCACACCUGCACUGCCCCGCAAGAGUGUGGUCAGUGCGCAUGCGCCCCUUUUGCGAGUCUUUUCCCUGUGGAGUGGUCAGAGCUCCGCACCUAUUCCGGAAGUGCACCUGGCCCGGCCUGGAUGCUGCUCACAUCCUCCGGGCCUGCUUUCUCUCUGUCUCUCACACACACAUCAGCUUGUGUGUCUUCCACUCUCCUUUCCUCAUUCGUUAGAAGUUUUAACUUUCACAUAAUCACAUUUGUCGAUCAAUUCCUGUAUAAGAGCUUGGCUCUGAGUGAUCUCAUGCUUGGAAAGGCUCUCCCAAUCUCAAGACAAUCUCUCCCAAUCUCUUCUAACGCUUUAAAGUUUCACUUUUUUUUUUUUUAGACAGGGUCUUGCUGUGCAGUUUGGGCUGGCCUUGAACUCACUUGUGUAGUCCAGGCUGGUCUCCACGGUGAUCCUCCUGGCUCAGCCUCCCGAGUGCUGGAAUUACCGCCUCGGGAGUGCUGGGAUGACAGGUGUGUGCCCUGUGCCUGGCGAGGUCAAGUAACUUCCGGAGUUUGAGCAAUGAGCUGGUGCCUGAGCCACAGGUGGAAGCCGAGUCCGUGGUGUUUGCAGGACAAACUGUGGACAGGAGCCGGUUGGCAGGGCGAGGAGCGGGCAGGAGCCCGCUGGGCCACAGAACGUCAGCUGCACUUUUAAGCCAGUUUUGGCCUACAGACUCGGCCCGGUGACAUGGGCGGCUUUGGCUGCAGCAGGGCGGAGUGCACCCAGAGGAAAGCGACCUGCAGAAGUGCCCAGAACAGGGUGCAGGACAGCGGUGUGUGUGCUGGAGCUCGAGGGGGUGGCAGGGGAUGGCAGGGGCAUUGGGUGACACCCAGGCUCUGCCCUGGGCUCAGGGCCCCCCAUGCCACUGGGGCCAUCCCAGCCUUGCCUCUCUUGACAUGGCCAGGGAUCCCCAGGACCCCCUGAGCCAGACUGAGCCACACCCUCCUGAUUCAACCUUCUCCAGAACCCAGGGGUGCCUUAGCUCUGGAACUGUCCCCACACCCACUGGGCUGUGAAGUCCUGCCCUGCAGCCACCAUGAGCAGAGAGGAAAGGGUGCUGGGAAGCAGGGGAGGGAGCAGGUGAAUAGCCUGGCUUCUGACUCAGUUCUCCUCCCUGGAGGCCCAGUCUGUGAGGACCCACACCCAGCCCAUCUUCCCCAGGCAGAGUGAAUGACCUCAAGCUGAUGGAGGCCAAUCCCAUCAUCUACAGGGGGAAGCCGAGGCCCAGGGAUGCUCAUGACCACCUCCAGCCAAGCGCUGGGCAGAGGGAAUGGGGUGGACCUGCUUGGGAGCCCAUGCAGCCUGGGGUGACCUUCUGUGGCCUUCAUGCCGUGGAGCUGGACACGCAUCACGUCCCAUGGUCCCUCUCGCUGCAGUGCCUCAGGCAGGGCCUGCAUCCAGUCCGGCCUCCUAACCCUCCUGGGCCACUGGGUGGUGGAGCCCGAGUUCCCUUGCAAAGAGCAAGAAGAGAACCCAGGACCAGGGUGCCUGCAGGGCCAGGGCCAGGUGGGGCCAAGGACUUCCUCCGUACCUUUCACAUCUACCACUGUGUGCUUGUCCUGCAGCUUCAGACUCGGAGCAUAUGCUUCUUACAGAGCUACCCAGCCACACCCAGGGCUGGUGGACCUGGGGGCUUUCAUAGCACAGCCCCUGUGGUGCAGCUGGCCUUGAGCCGCAGGCUCGGCGACUGACUACGAAGACAGAGCAGCCUGCCCUCUGUCUCCUCCCAGUCCCGAUGCGGCCUGGGGUUCAUGGGCGGCCCGGGUCCCAGCUCCCCACUUCCCUGCACCCCUGGGUUCGGGCGAUGUGGCCAUCCUUGCCGCCCCUACCCUGUCCAGCUUGGCCCUGUGUCACCACUGUUCUUGGAUAAGACGCAGGGACAGCCGGGAGUGGCUGUCGAUGGGACGUUAAGUGCAUGCCAACCUCUGGGUUUUGUAUAAAGGGCAAAAGAGGGGUGAAUUUUCUGGCGCUAAUAAGGAAAAUCUUGAGGUUGCCAUUAAUGAAUUGGUCUAAUUGUGCUUUCCAAACAUACCCAGCCAGCAGCUGCUUAAAACUUGUCAUUUUUGUAAAUGAAAAGUAUGAAACAUGGAAACUGUAUAUCCAACUGCUGAUUACAAAUGACAAUAAAGUAUUAAUUGUAUCCAUUAAAGAAAAAGCAAGUACCACCAGCCGGAAAACGCCAGC
ensembl:lncRNA